GAUGUCUAUAUAAUGAAAAUAUGUUGUUAGCCUUUCAUCAUGCAAUACAAAAUGACAUUUCAUAUUUAUCAAUCUUAUAUUUUGGGGAUUUUAUGCAUUUCUUUGAUAUUGGUAUCAGGAUUGAAUACUAAUUUCGAGAGUCCAAUAGAAGAGCUUUUCACAAAAGAGUGUUUAAUUGGUGCACCCGGACCUCCACAAGUUUGUUGUGUAUCACUAUGCCCUACAUACUGUCCCUCAGAUUGUAAUGCUAAAGGAUUUACCAAGGGUGGAUUCUGUACACCUAUUCAUGGAAUUGAUAUGUGUUGUUGUAAAAAGUAAUAAAGUUGUUAUGUCAUUAAAAUUAUAAAAAAUAAUGAAUGAUGUAAAAGAUGUAUCUGAAAUAAGUCUUCAAUGGUUGAAGAAAUAAAUUAAAUUAAUAUAGAAUUUUGUGACGGAAA